GAAAUGCGAUAAGUAAUGUGAAUUGCAGAAUUCAGUGAAUCAUCGAAUCUUUGAACGCACAUUGCGCCCGCCAGUACUCUGGCGGGCAUGCCUGUCCGAGCGUCAUUUCAACCCUCAAGCCCCCGGCUUGGUGUUGGGGCCCUGCGGCUGCCGCAGGCCCCGAAAUGGAGUGGCGGGCUCGCGGCGAACUCCGGGCGUAGUAGAAUCCUAUCUCGCUAGGGAGGCGCGGCGCGCUCCGGCCGUUAAAGGAACCUCUUUUAACCCAAGGUUGACCUCGGAUCAGGUAGGAAUACCCGCUGAACUUAA
rnacentral:misc_RNA from 1 species